rnacentral:tRNA from 1 species
GAUGAGCUCAGUGGUAGAGCAUUUGCCUAGUGUUCAUAAGGACCUGAGUUCAAUCCUCAGCAUCC